rnacentral:rRNA from 1 species
CAGUCGCCGCGGGAAUACGUAGGGUGCAAGCGUUAAUCGGAAUUACUGGGCGUAAAGCGUGCGCAGGCGGUUUUGUAAGACAGAGGUGAAAUCCCCGGGCUCAACCUGGGAACUGCAUUUGAGGCUGUAUGGCUAGAGUGUGUCAGAGGGGGGUAGAAUUCCACGUGUAGCAGUGAAAUGCGUAGAUAUGUGGAGGAAUACCGAUGGCGAAGGCAGCCCCCUGGGAUAACACUGACGCUCAUGCACGAAAGCGUGGGGAGCAAACAGGACUAGAUACCCCAGUAGUCCCUGUCUCUUAUAC